rnacentral:tRNA from 2 species
GCGUCCGUAGCUUAGUUGGUUAGAGCACCACCUUGACAUGGUGGGGGUCGGUGGUUCGAGUCCACUCGGACGCACCA